CGGCUCAGGUGUGCAGUGGGAUUGUGACACACGUGUGUUGGACUCAUCUAUAUUACCGAUGGUAUCAUUGUUAGAUGUGGCUGUCGAUGUCUCGAUCCUGGAGAAAAUGCCAUUCUGAUGUCUAAAUCAAAGUUCUGCCAAAUCUUUGCAUCAUUUCACCUGUGUGAACGUUUGGAGGGGUGCCACGUGGUGGUGGUGGGCGUAAAAGGUGACGAGGGAUCUACAAGACACGCCCACCGCAAGCAGUUCUUCCUCCGGGGCUUCUCUUUGUUCCGCGUCAGUCACAUCCCGCGGAGCCGGUUUGACCGACAAAAAUACCCGGUGUUGUAAGAGGCCGGAAGGGGCGGAGCCUCAGCAUUCAACACACUCUCAAAACCACAAUAAAACCGCGAGCUCGACGUUUCAUCACCGCGUGUCACUGUGACGUAACUGCGCGUAUGACAUAAAAGCACGUUUUCAGGUCUCCCCGUUUCCUUUUCGACUGCUCCUGAAGUCCUACGUUUCCCAGAAUCCCCUUUCCCAACAUUUAGGAGUGCAGAGGGGGAAACCCGUUGGUGGAAGAAGAAGAAG